AAAUAUUUUGUAAACUAGUUUUUGAAUCUCACUCUUAUUCCUCAAUAUUCAAAACAGAAUUGAAUCUAAUUUCAAAUGGUUAAUUAAAAGGAAAAGCAGAAAACCCCUAACAGCUAUCCUUCCCGGGCUCAUCCCCUUUUUCCCUCCUCUGGCCUGCUUCAGGCUGUAGCCUUUUUCUUCUUCGCUGGAGGCCCAUCUCUCUCUUCCCAUUUUUUCCUCUGGCCUGGCCCAAGGCCACCUCUUCUUGGCUCGUAACGCUUCGACCUCAUCCUCCUUUUCUUUUCCUUGUCGCCUUCCCCGUCACGCAGCGAGCCUGAGCUCCCCUUCUCACCAGAUGAACCUCCCCUUGGCCUUGCCUUUAUCCCUGGACCACGGCAUCUCCAGCUGCACCUCCUCCUGGCACACGUCUCCUCCAUCCCUCCCCUUUCUUUCCCUUCCUGCAAGCAAAACGAGAAGGAGAAACCCCACAGUACCGCGCCUUCCUCCUCGCCGAUCCGCCAUCUCCGUCCACCCCAAGCCUCGCCGCCGCCACCGUUGGAACCGCCUCGUCGUCCUCUAUCUUUGGGUGCAAGGAAUCGAGCUAAUACCCUGUAAUUCGAGCGCAGUGUCGCCGAUUCUCCGCGUCGGUCGCCGAGCUUCUUCUCCGAUUCCGGCCGGCGUAGUCUUUCCCCGGCGACCUCGACAUCACCAACAUGUUCCUGGAGCUCGUCGCCGGCGGAUCUCCGGCGGUCCCCUGGACUUCACGCUGCCACCAUCAGAUUCCCCGCGUUGAGGCGCAUCCCCGACGCCAACUUCCCCGUCCUAGUUCGCUGUGAAUCGCCGGAUCGAACUUGACCUGAGUCUCCGCCAUGGACAGACGCGUGCAAGCUCGUCUGCCUGUUUCUCCUUAUUUUGUACCGAUGCUUCCCGUCCUAAACAGCAACAUCGAUCUAGCUCAGUGGCUGGUUCCGUCAUCCUUAACCAGAUCGACCCAGAUCAGCAGCACUGCCCAGAUGGUUUGGGUCGCUGAAUAUUCACUAUGAGGUGCUGGGUUCAAUUCCAGCUGGGCGCACUUUUUUUUUCGCCAUUCCGAUCCGUCGAUGCAGCCCAUCGCCUGCGCCUCUCGGUCGCUGUUUCAGCCCAAGUUCUGGCCCAGUUUCGUUGCUCCUCUCCAACAACGUUGCAGCAUUUGCUUCUUCCCGGAUAGGAUCACGAAGUGGUGUGGUGAGAUACGACAAGUUCUCCGGAUGUUCCUCGGCAAGCUUUAACAGGCAAGCAUUUCCCCUAUACUUCUGCCCCUGCAGAAGUCGCUCACCUAUUUUAUUUUGCCUUCUUCCUUAUGCUAGCUUUAAGUUGCGUUCUUGUCACGUGUCCCUUCCACUUGUUACCUCAAGCAGCCUAUAUUGCCUCCACCAACCACCUACAGCUAUUAUUUGAUUAUCGGGUCUGCCUUGCGAGUCGUAGUGCAUGCUAGUGCUGUUUAUACCUCGUUACCGUUACCGCUAUCUUAUCGGGUUAUCAGUUGGGAAUCAUGACACAUUGUUUAUGGAUAUAUCUGUUGAGGGUAUCAUGGUUACUUGUUAAUAGUUGUUAGCGGAGGCAUCGGUGGGUCAGUUGCUCGUUUUAUGACGGCUCACUUGUGUUUCCUAAAUAUCUUAGGACCCCGAGUUCUUGUUAUCUGUUCCGAGACUGAGCGCUCUAACCACACGUGGGUAUGUUUCUGGGUCUCCCCUCGACCACUGCCGGAAUCUACAGCUUUGUCCAGUGGCCACAACUAGUUUGCAAUGUUUCACCAUUUGUUGUUUGCGUGCAUGCCAGCCUGUUACUUAUUUAUUUUGGGAAGCCCAGUGAGCCUUGUAUCCCUUGUUUCUGGUAUGCACGUAUAGGUUUGCGGCCUGAGCGUUUAUCGCAUGCUGAAGCGGGUCAUUCGCCCCUGUGUGUGUUUUGACCCUCGGAAGCCGUGCACGCAAUAGCUAGGUCCGUUUCGGAGAUACGGCCGGACUUCGAUUCGGGUUCAACUUGGUUAGGUGGCUUCCUGGACAUUGUUGUCGUGAAGGAGAGUGCGAGUCGUUAUAUCCACCUAUCGCAAGUGGGUUGAUCGUGCGUGUGGGCACAUUUGGGCACCCCUGCAGGGUAAAAUCUUAUCGAUAAGCCGCGUCCGCGGUUAUGGACGACUUGGAGCUGUAUGACUCGACCAUAGACAACUUACACCUGUUGUUUCAAUCAUAAUAACUUGUGUAGUAAGUUAGCACAACUCUAAUAAUAACUGGUUAAAACUUGACAACCGUGUGAGUGCCUUUGCAAGUACUUCUUGGCGAAGGGGGAACACAUUGGCUGUGUUAUGUUUGCAGAGUAUAGAACUGUUAGUUACGCUCUCUCACCUUCUCUGUUUAGACGAAUGUUGUAGAGUGUCUCUAUAGGUUUUUUUUAGUGCUUGCGCGCUGUCGCUUAACCCCACCAUAUUGCCUAUGACGUUCCUCUUGCGUCCUCUAAGUCCCCUGCGUGCCUCAAGUACAAAGGACGACUGGUUGACGAAUGCUUAUACGUCUUGAAGUCUUGUUAAGUACGAACCCGUACUUAUUGCUGCUUCUACGGGAUAUAACCGGGCAGGUAUGAAGAUAUGUUCGAUGAAGACGACGUUAGCAAGGGUUACCCUUCCGGCUUGGCCUGGGCAGGGUUAUGGACGCCACUUGGUUAUCUUCAGGACUCUUAGUCCAAUUUGUAUCUUGUCCGUACUCGGAUGUAUUUGAUCUUCUGUAUGAUUUGGAUCUUUGUAUGUAUCUAUUUGUAUUUUGACUCGUUGGAGUCGUUGUUGUAAUAUAUCUGUAUCUUGUGGGCUCUAUUGUAAUCCUGUUGUAA